rnacentral:rRNA from 1 species
GGCUGAAAUUCGCCUUCAUGAAGCCGGAAUUGCUAGUAAUGGCAGGUCAGCAUACUGCCGUGAAUACGUUCCCGGGCCUUGUACACACCGCCCGUCACACCAUGAGAGUUGGAAAUACCCGAAGCCUGUGAGCUAACCGUAAGGAGGCAGCAGUCGAAGGUAGAGUCAAUGAUUGGGGUGAAGUCGUAACAAGGUACC